GACGAACGCUGGCGGCGUGCUUAACACAUGCAAGUCGAACGGUAAGGCCCUUUCGGGGGUACACGAGUGGCGAACGGGUGAGUAACACGUGGGUGAUCUGCCCUGCACUUUGGGAUAAGCCUGGGAAACUGGGUCUAAUACCGGAUAGGACUACGCGAUGCAUGUCGUGUGGUGGAAAGCUUUUGCGGUGUGGGAUGGGCCCGCGGCCUAUCAGCUUGUUGGUGGGGUGAUGGCCUACCAAGGCGACGACGGGUAGCCGGCCUGAGAGGGUGUCCGGCCACACUGGGACUGAGAUACGGCCCAGACUCCUACGGGAGGCAGCAGUGGGGAAUAUUGCACAAUGGGCGCAAGCCUGAUGCAGCGACGCCGCGUGGGGGAUGACGGCCUUCGGGUUGUAAACCCCUUUCAGCACAGACGAAGCGUAGGUGACGGUAUGUGCAGAAGAAGCACCGGCCAACUACGUG
rnacentral:rRNA from 1 species